GACGGAGGAUGCAAGUGUUAUCCGGAAUUAUUGGGCGUAAAGCGUCUGUAGGUGGUUUAAAAGGUCCAUGGUUAAAACUUGAAGCUUAACUUCAAAGAUGCCAUGGAAACUUUUAAACUUGAGUAUGGUAGGGGUAAAGGGAAUUUCCAGUGGAGCGGUGAAAUGCGCAGAUAUCAGGAGGAACACCGGUGGCGAAGGCGGGUCUCUGGGCAACAACUGACGCUGAGGAGCGAAAGCGUGGGGAGCGAACAGG
rnacentral:rRNA from 1 species